UUAAUUAAUUUAAUAAUUGUCUCAGACUGCAUACUUCAGACAGCGUUCACAGGUGGCUUCGGCGGGCGCGGGCCCGGGGGCGAAUGCCCCCCGGCGGCCGUGAGGCGGGCCCGCCGAAGCAACAAGGUAAAUAAACACGGGUGGGAGGUUGGACCCAGAGGGCCCUCACUCGGUAAUGAUCCUUCCGCAGGUUCACCUACGGAAA
rnacentral:misc_RNA from 1 species